rnacentral:lncRNA from 10 species
CACAGGACCAGCUCCUUUGGUGAGCGAAGUGUGUGAGCGAAGGAAAGAUUCUUGGGUAGAACUUCAUAAAGUCUGUCAUAAGAUCAGCCCCAGAGGAGGAGACUUUUCAGAUCCCAUCCCUCAUACACAUUCAGAAGGCCAAGGAAACACCCUCAGGAUUGAACUAUGAUAAAGAAGGCUUUUGGACUUGGACCUCAUCCAAGGAGCUGGCUGCCUGCACUUUCACAGACCGUCAGCUUCAUCCCCAGGCCCCAAAUCCUGAAUUUGCCGUGUCAAUGAAAAACCAUCAUCAGCUUUUCUUUACAUUAAAAACUGAUUGUGAUCAUAGCAGUUUUUCCUGUUUUCUGGGAUCACUGCUGCGAAGAGGAAAAGUCACCAGAGGAUAAAAUGACACACACGCAAACUCUUCUGUGGCUGAAAUUCCCCUCACUCUUCCUGCCUCUAACCGAAAAGGAGGAUACAGACCAAGGAGCACUUCAUGAAGGAAAACCAAGGCCCAAGUCAUACAGCUAGUAAAAGGAGGAGCCACAAUUCAAACCAGGACUGAUUUCAAAAUUCGCAUUCCUUCCACUAUGCCAUGGAAAGUACAGUAGGGUGUUUUUAUGUCAACUGCAGCCAGACACAUCAAUUUUCUCCUCUGAGAGGACAGGAUAUAAAUCUGAAGAAACAAUGUAUAUGAAAAUAUGCUCUAUGCUAUAAGGCAAGAUUUAUAUGUAAGUAAGUAUCAUCAUCCUCAAGGAGAAGAUGCAUAAAGCAGAGCUGACAGUUUUCUUUUUCAUUUUUUUUUUUAAGAGACAGGGACACGUUUCCCAGCCUAGGCUGGACUUGAACUCCUGGGCCAAGCGAUCCUCCCGCCUCAGCCUGCUGAGUAGCUGGGACUACAGGCACAUGCCAUCAUGCCAGGCCAGAACUGGCAUUUCUGCUGCACACACACCAGUAAACUCAGCAGGAAGUGAACUCUAAACAUAGCCUAAGAGGAGAACUUUUCUCUCAACACUAAAACUCAUAAAAACACGUAAGCAAGUGUGUCGGUCAGUCACUCCCUUAAACACAGGUGUCUGGCAAGAUAGUGAGAAAUCAUCCCACGUCUAACGUCCAUGGGCACAGACUCC